CCUGGUGUCAUUCCAUCAGUGUUAAACUUCCUGGCUCAUCUUGGAAGAGUAUGUGCCAGAAAGACCACGACCAAGCAGCCUUGAGAUCUUAGGCAGCGUCUCCCUGAGACCAAAGAACUACAGACUCUUCACAACCUGCUCAAACUCUUGGUACAGGACCUCACCACACGGGUCAAGAAGGUUUCUGUCUCAUUUCUACCCUGAAGCUCACCUUCUCCUGCUUUAACUGCUGACAAAUGUUUCUGCUGCUCUAAAGUCUGCUCUCCAGAACUUCCUAAAAACUCUCAAAGUCUCUUCUGCUGCAGGU
ensembl:lncRNA